AAUUUACAACGAAGAGUUUGAUCCUGGCUCAGGAUGAACGCUAGCGAUAGGCUUAACACAUGCAAGUCGAGGGGCAGCACUUCGGGUGGCGACCGGCGCACGGGUGAGUAACGCGUAUGCAACCUACCUUCUACAGGGGGAUAACCUCUCGAAAGAGAGACUAAUACCGCAUAAAACAGGGGCACCGCAUGGUGAUAUUUGUUAAAGAUUUAUUGGUAGAAGAUGGGCAUGCGUAACAUUAGCUUGUUGGUGAGGUAACGGCUCACCAAGGCAACGAUGUUUAGGGGUUCUGAGAGGAAGGUCCCCCACACUGGUACUGAGACACGGACCAGACUCCUACGGGAGGCAGCAGUGAGGAAUAUUGGUCAAUGGACGGAAGUCUGAACCAGCCAAGUCGCGUGAAGGACGAAGGUAUUAUGUAUUGUAAACUUCUUUUUCAGGGGAAUAAAGUGAGGCUUGCGAGCCUUUUUGCAAGUACCCUGCGAAUAAGGAUCGGCUAACUCCGUGCCAGCAGCCGCGGUAAUACGGAGGAUCCGAGCGUUAUCCGGAUUUAUUGGGUUUAAAGGGUGCGUAGGCGGAGAUUUAAGUCAGUGGUGAAAGUUUAGGGCUUAACCUUAAAAUUGCCGUUGAAACUGGAUUUCUUGAGUACGGUAGAGGUAGGCGGAAUUUGUGGUGUAGCGGUGAAAUGCUUAGAUAUCACGAAGAACUCCGAUUGCGAAGGCAGCUUACCGGACCGUAACUGACGCUGAGGCACGAAAGUGUGGGGAUCAAACAGGAUUAGAUACCCUGGUAGUCCACACUGUAAACGAUGAAUGCUAGAUGUUGGCGAUAUACAGUCAGUGUCACAGAGAAAUCGUUAAGCAUUCCACCUGGGGAGUACGCCGGCAACGGUGAAACUCAAAGGAAUUGACGGGGGCCCGCACAAGCGGAGGAACAUGUGGUUUAAUUCGAUGAUACGCGAGGAACCUUACCCGGGCUUGAAUUGCACUCGAAUUACUUGGAAACAGGUAAGCCGCAAGGCGAGUGUGAAGGUGCUGCAUGGUUGUCGUCAGCUCGUGCCGUGAGGUGUCGGCUUAAGUGCCAUAACGAGCGCAACCCACAUCAUCAGUUACUAACAGGGCGAUUACAUCAAUGCUGAGGACUCUGGUGAGACUGCCGUCGUAAGAUGAGAGGAAGGUGUGGAUGACGUCAAAUCAGCACGGCCCUUACGUCCGGGGCGACACACGUGUUACAAUGGGGGGUACAGAGAGUUGCCAGACGGUGACGUCGAGCUAAUCUUGAAAACCUCUCUCAGUUCGGAUUGGAGUCUGCAACUCGACUCCAUGAAGCUGGAUUCGCUAGUAAUCGCGCAUCAGCCAUGGCGCGGUGAAUACGUUCCCGGGCCUUGUACACACCGCCCGUCAAGCCAUGGGAGUCGGGGGGACCUGAAGUUCGUAACCGCAAGGAGCGACCUAGGGUAAAACCGGCGACUGGGGCUAAGUCGUAACAAGGUAGCCGUACCGGAAGGUGCGGCUGGAACACCUCCUUUCUGGAG
rnacentral:rRNA from 1 species